UUGGAUCACCUCCUAACAGGGAGACAAACAACGAUUUUGAUGCUGAGUGCUUUUAUUCUUAGGCCGAAAUCCUGUCACUUAGGUCGAUCGGUACCUCAGCUUUGAAGUCAAGAAUGUGCAGCGAUGCAAGUUGCUUGAUGGAGAUUCUUAGUUCCUAAACUUUGUCUAGGUCACACCCCAAAAGGGAUGAGACUCCUGGGCCAUUAGCUCAGGUGGUUAGAGCGCACCCCUGAUAAGGGUGAGGUCCCUGGUUCAAGUCCAGGAUGGCCCAUUCGGUGUUGGGGGUUUAGCUCAGUUGGUAGAGCGCCUGCUUUGCAAGCAGGAUGUCAGGAGUUCGAGUCUCCUAACCUCCACUGACCGAACUUUGUCCCCAGCUUCAUUUGAUGGAGUUGAGCUCGAUUGGAGUGUGAUUUAGACGUGUCCGCUGGAUGACCCCAGCUUCCUGUCAUUCCAAAUGAAAGCAAAAAAGUUUUUGCUGAAUGUAUUUGGUUGAUAAGACGCUGGGCUCAAGUUAAAUGAUCAAGCAAUUGAUGAUUUGAUUUGAAGUUCUAGCAGAACCUUGACAACUGCAUAGGUGAGUCUGGAAAGAAUAAAGCAUCUCAUGGAUGAUGCGAUGAUUCUUUUCUGUGAUCCGAAAGGAUGAUGGAGAAGGAGAGUUGCAAAUUCUAUCGAGCAAGAGCCGAGACUCCAUCACGUUCUUUCAAUUGUGUCGAGCAAUUGCGAGUUUGAUUCUUGAUUCAACAAUGAAUCAGGGAGAAUCUGUUUCAACGACAGCAAGCGUGUUGGUGAUUAUAUGGUCAAGCUACAAAGAGCUCACGGCGGAUACCUUGGCACACAGAGGCGAUGAAGGA
rnacentral:tRNA from 1 species